GUGCUCGCUUCAACAGCACACAUACCAAAGCUGGAAUGAUACAGAGAAGAUUAGCAUGGCCCCGUGCAAGGAUGACACACCAAUUCAUGAAACAUUCCAUUUUUGU